rnacentral:rRNA from 1 species
AUUGAACGCUGGCGGCAUGCCUUACACAUGCAAGUCGAACGGUAACGCGGGGCAACCUGGCGACGAGUGGCGAACGGGUGAGUAAUACAUCGGAACGUGCCCAGUAGUGGGGGAUAGCCCGGCGAAAGCCGGAUUAAUACCGCAUACGACCUACGGGUGAAAGCGGGGGAUCGCAAGACCUCGCGCUAUUGGAGCGGCCGAUGUCAGAUUAGCUAGUUGGUGGGGUAAAGGCCUACCAAGGCGACGAUCUGUAGCUGGUCUGAGAGGACGACCAGCCACAGUGGGACUGAGACACGGCCCAGGCUCCUACGGGAGGCAGCAGUGGGGAAUGUUGGACAAUGGGGGCAACCCUGAUCCAGCCAUGCCGCGUGCGGGAAGAAGGCCUUCGGGUUGUAAACCGCUUUUGUCGGGGAAGAAACGGUCUGCGCUAAUACCGCGGGCUAAUGACGGUACCCGAAGAAUAAGCACCGGCUAACUACGUGCCAGCCGCCGCGGUAAUAC